rnacentral:rRNA from 1 species
UAGUAACGGCGAGUGAAGCGGCAACAGCUCAAAUUUGAAAUCUGGCGCGUCCGAGUUGUAAUUUGCAGAGGGCGCUUUGGCAUGGCAGCGGUCCAAGUUCCUUGGAACAGGACGUCACAGAGGGUGAGAAUCCCGUACGUGGUCGCUGCCUUACCGUGUAAAGCCCCUUCGACGAGUCGAGUUGUUUGGGAAUGCAGCUCUAAAUGGGAGGUAAAUUUCUUCUAAAGCUAAAUACUGGCCAGAGACCGAUAGCGCACAAGUAGAGUGAUCGAAAGAUGAAAAGCACUUUGGAAAGAGAGUUAAAAAGCACGUGAAAUUGUUGAAAGGGAAGCGCUUGCAGCCAGACUUGCCUGUAGUUGCUCAUCCGGGUUUCACCCGGUGCACUCUUCGCAGGCCAGCAUCAGUUUGGGCGGUUGGAUAAAGGUCUCUGUCAUGUACCUCCUUUCGGGGAGAUCUUAUAGGGGAGACGACAUGCAACCAGCCUGGACUGAGGUCCGCGCAUCGCUAGGAUGCUGGCGUAAUGGCUGUAAGCGGCCCGUCUUGAAACACGGACCAAGGAGUCUAACAUCUAUGCGAGUGUUUGGGUGUCAAGCCCGAACGCGUAAUGAAAGUGAACGGAGGUGGGAACCUGGGUGCACCAUCGACCGAUCCUGAUGUCUUCGGAUGGAUUUGAGUAAGAGCA